rnacentral:rRNA from 1 species
AGUGAACGCUGGCGGUAGGCCUAACACAUGCAAGUCGAACGGCAGCACAGGAGAGCUUGCUCUCUGGGUGGCGAGUGGCGGACGGGUGAGGAAUACAUCGGAAUCUACUCUGUCGGGGGGGAUAACGUAGGGAAACUUACGCUAAUACCGCAUACGACCUACGGGUGAAAGCAGGGGACCUUCGGGCCUUGCGCGAUUGAAUGAGCCGAUGUCGGAUUAGCUAGUUGGCGGGGUAAAGGCCCACCAAGGCGACGAACCGUAGCUGGUCUGAGAGGAUGAUCAGCCACACUGGAACUGAGACACGGUCCAGACUCCUACGGGAGGCAGCAGUGGGGAAUAUUGGACAAUGGGCGCAAGCCUGAUCCAGCCAUACCGCGUGGGUGAAGAAGGCCUUCGGGUUGUAAAGCCCUUUUGUUGGGAAAGAAAUCCAGCUGGCUAAUACCCGGUUGGGAUGACGGUACCCAAAGAAUAAGCACCGGCUAACUUCGUGCCAGCAGCCGCCGUAA